AACAAAACCCAUAUUCUGAAUUAAAUUAAAAAAUAAUUUCUGUUGAAUGGAAAAAACCCACCGCAAAAUAACAGCUGUGCACAUGUGCAGCAUAAUGCAAACAUAUCAACCUUCAUUUCAUUUCAAUUCAUUUAAUUAAAUAAAGUAGUAAGGUAUUCCAUUCAGCAUUUAAAUUUAGCUCCUUUUUCGCAUUCAUUGUCUAAAAUCUGGCACAGCUGGCAUUAAAUUAAUGAAUUCUGGGCAUAUUACGAUUUGCCAUAUCGAUUUGCUAUAUAAGCGCUCAUCUUUUCGGUUGUAAAUCAGUUCGAAUUCAACAGAGUUUAACAAUCUUCAACCUUCAACAUGAAAUUCAUUUUGAUCUUGGCUUGCCUGGCGCUCUUCGUGGCCCACACCCAGGCCCAGAGAAGGCCCCCCGUACGACCUCCCACAAGACCUCCCACAAGAGGACCCCCAAGCUCUUGCCGUGGCGCCGUUUCAGCUAACCGACAGGCUUGCACAGGCGGUAAAAACGAAGGAAAUUCCAAUGGCCGCCAGUGCCCCGCCAAUGCCAAUAGGGAGAUGUGGUGGUACGACAGCAGGAGCCGAUCCUGCAAGAAGAUGUCCUACAAGGGAUGCGGCGGCAACAACAAUCGCUAUUGCACUCGCAAAGCCUGCGAGACCAAGUGCAGGCGUCGCACCGAAUAAUCCACAGAAAAGGUUGAAUCUGAACGAUGAAUAUUAAAAUAAAUUAGCUGGAUAUUGCAUUUUAAAUGAAAACGUCAUUUCGUGGUAUCAAUGUUAAAUGUAAAAUUGUAUUCGAGUCUUGCUGUCUACUUGGCGCUUCGUCCACGACAUCACGACAUCCAAAGAACUAGCCUUAGAUUGAAGCCUACUUGUUCAGACUAAGUCUCGGAUUUUUCACACUUGGAAAAUUGUUCGAAAAUGCAUUCCCCAUUUGUUAAUCAGUUCGAACUAAGCAGAGCUUAACAAUCUUUAAUCCACAACAUGAAAU